rnacentral:rRNA from 1 species
AUUGAACGCUGGCGGCAUGCCUUACACAUGCAAGUCGAACGGUAGAGGGGCAACCCUCGAGAGUGGCGAACGGGUGAGUAACGCAUCGGAACGUGCCCAGUCGUGGGGGAUAACACUUCGAAAGAAGUGCUAAUACCGCAUACGACCUGAGGGUGAAAGCGGGGGAUCGCAAGACCUCGCGCGAUUGGAGCGGCCGAUGUCAGAUUAGGUAGUUGGUGGGGUAAAGGCCUACCAAGCCGACGAUCUGUAGCUGGUCUGAGAGGACGACCAGCCACACUGGGACUGAGACACGGCCCAGACUCCUACGGGAGGCAGCAGUGGGGAAUUUUGGACAAUGGGCGCAAGCCUGAUCCAGCCAUGCCGCGUGCAGGAAGAAGGCCUUCGGGUUGUAACUGCUUUGUCUAGGGAAGAAAGUACUUCU